UUACCAUUCACUAUUCGAAAAAUGUUAUUUAAUUGAUCAUGUAUAUUAUUACUACCAUGAAUGUGAACUAUUUAAACCUCAACUUUACGUGAUAGGUCCAUCGGAAUAUUGUAGAAGAUUUUUAAGUGAG